rnacentral:lncRNA from 1 species
CAGCUUUUACAAUAAUUUUUACUCCAUUGUCUAUCUGAAGGAUCAUGUCAUAUUUUCUCAACCUCUUACUUUCUAUUAGACUCUGCAUUGAGGUACAUAUAUGAGCACUCAAACCAAAGUCUUAAUAUCCAACUAGAAGUAGAAGAAACUGUAAGGUUAAAUUCAAUUACGAGCAUACCUUCCAAAAGUUUAUCAUCCUUUUUGAUCUUUAGGCUCUCCAG